AAUGAGAACAUCAUGUUUGAAUCAUGUGGAAGCACUGAUCCGUUGUUCACUGCCAAAGCUGGACAUGCCAAUUGGGUCCUGCAUACAUCUGCUGCAGCCUCUAUGUUUUCAACAGUAAAUUGUCUACUGGGAAAGGGGGAACUUAACACAGUUCCUGCAAGCACUUGCUGGGACAGGCUGGGAGAGGCUGAUUCAGAGAACAGGAUCAGGACUCAAAUUGAUCUUCACAGAUUGGAGAGCUUGUCUGAAAUCAAUAAGCCUCACUGUGAUAAAGACAAGUAUGAAAUGCACUUCUAGGACAAAAGACAGUUCAAAUGCAUGGUGUGUGAAAUGGGAAAUAACUGAUAAGGCAGCAGCGCUACAGGAGUGGAUCAACUGGCUAUUGCGAACCACUUGCAUGUUGAAGCUACGUUAAAGCUUAUACAAAAAAACAAAUGUUGUUUGGCGAUAUAUUAGCAGCAGUGUCUUGGGUAAAACACUGAGGUAAUUAUUCUGCUCUACUUGGCACUGUUGAGGCUUAGCUUGAGUACAGUGUCCAGUUUUAGACAUUACAUUUGAAGAAAAGCUGCAGGGAAAUAGCAAAGAACAGCAAUAUAAAGGUGUUUAAAAAGUACACACUGAAGCUAAAGGGGUUUGUGUAGCCUCAGGAAGUGAUCUGUGCUAGGUGAUAUGGUAAAAAUUCUCAUUCUGAGAAAGGUGCUUAGAGAGUGGAAUGAACAGAGUUCUCCCAUGCCUAUCAGAAGGUGAGAGUAGGAAAAGAGGUAGCAGGGUAGGUAAAACAGCACUGCAAUGCAUGUGUGGACCACUUCCAAAGAAAAUGCAGCAUCUCCUUGUGCAGAUGUUUUUUCAUGUCCCUGACUUAGUUAAUAAUUGGCCACAAAGAUAAAAGCCUCAGGGCUAAAAGAUGCAGAGAUGUGGUUUUGCAAUGCCUGAAUUGUAGGUGCUGGGCACCCAGCCCCAAGGCUCUGAGUAUGGCAAGAGGUAGGUGAUCAACAAAGUGUGCAGGAGCAAGCCAGUGAGCUCAGCAAGGAGCCAACAGGUUCGAGAUAAGAUGUCGAGAUAAGACAUCUCUGGGCUGGAGAACACUCUGACUACACCUACCAAUGGAGAGAGACUGAAGGGUCUCCUCUGGGUAUCCUGUCUUGGAACUGAACGACCAAGGCAGCUCAGGUCUUCAGAGCUAAAAGUCAUUGGGAUAGUUUUCAUGUCUUAUUGCAGCAACACAGCAAUGUAGCAUUGUUUCUCAGGAGAGACACUGGUGGGGUUAGACAGUAGCUGAAGAGAGAUUCAUGGGAGCGUGGGCCCUCAGGUGCUUUGAGGUGUGUGGUUUUACCUGCACCUCUAAGUCUUGCGCCUUCAAAACAGGAAUCGUUCACUCAAAACUCAGCUCUACUGAAGAGUAUCUAUACAUUUUAAUAAAAUGACUCACUGCUUGAGUUCUAAAAGCUAUUAGGCAAGUCCACAGAAAAGACAGAGAAGCCUGUUAGCUCUUAGACUCACAGGAACAGUGUCUGGCAAAAGAAGUCCCUGAGCUCCUUGCACUGUCACAGGUGGGUGAAGGAACUGGAUGGACCUGUGCCGUGGCCCAGGACAGUCACAGCUGCCUCCUUGUUCAUACUGAGUCAAUGGAAAACGUUCGUGAAGGGUUUUGUAACAAAAGAAGGAAUCUUCUAACAACAUCUGACAAAGUCACAGAGCAAGAAAGGCAUCUUGGCACAGGGGAGGCUUGAGAAAUCACCAGAAGGAAACCUACAACUGGAAGGAGUAGAAUGAGAAAGAAGGAAUUAAGUCCAGUGUGAAGAGGCCAUGCAAUGAGGGAGUAUUGUAAGAACACGUACUGUGCUGUGAUCUCAGUAGUCCUUGCCAGAUAGAGAAGAAGAAAGACCUUGGUCACUAGUUAAUGACCAAGUGGUUACAAGCCACUGAGGGAACAUGGCCAUGGAAGGCGAAGCACAGCCCCCUCCCGGCUGCGGCCGGCACAAGUGGCGAGAUUCCCAUGGACGGCAGCUUUGCCGCAGACAAACGCCGGCCUCGCGCGAGGCUUUUCCCAAGCGGAACGGCCGGCGCGGUGCCGACGCGCACGUCUGGGAGCUGAGAAUGGGGCGCAGGUACGAGCUCGCCGCUGGAAGCCCCUCCAUUCAGGACUGGGGCAGGUGCUGCCCGGCCGGCGGCGGAGGCG
ensembl:lncRNA